UGGUCGUGUUUUCCAGGGUCGUUUUAGCAUCAACCUUUAUGGAACCGGCUUGUCUUUAACUGAAUCUGCCAGAUGGAUAUCACAAGGGAAUUAUGCUGUCUCUGACAUCAAGAAGUCGCCGGAUGGUACCCGAGUCGUAGGGAAAUGCGGUGGUUACUGUGGAAAAUGCACUCCAUCCUCUGGUACUGGCCUGGAGGUGCGAGUUUUAUAGCUAAGGAAAAUUGCCUCCAGCUGCAUCCAUAUUGCUGCAAAGGACAUGAUUUCAUUAUUUUUUAUGGCUGCAUAGUAUUUCAUCAUGUAUACAGACCACAUUUUUAAAAUCCAGUCCACCAUUAAUCGGUACCUAGGUUGAUUCCACGUUUGCUAUUGUGAAUAGUGCUGCAAUAAACAUGUGCUUUGAAGAGGAAGCCAUUAUGGAUGGAUGAAGGAUAGUAAUGCAAUACCUCCACCUUAAUUUGGGUGCAUGUGUAUGUGUGUGUGUGUUUGUGUGUGACUUGUAUGCUUGUGUGUGUAAAUGUGUGUACAUAUACAUAUAUACAUAUCUACACAUACAUAUAUACACAUAUAUGUGUGUAUGUAGAUAUGUAGACUAUCCUAA
rnacentral:lncRNA from 10 species